AACCCACUCCGGUCACCUUACACGUUAUGAGAGAUUUGUUUUUUCACUUUUUGCAAUAAAUCUUGCUGCUGCUCACUGUUUGGGUCUGCACUGCCUUUAUGAGCUGUGACACUCGCCGUGAAGGUCUGCAGGUUCACUCCUGAAGUCAGCAAGACCACAAGCCCACUGGGAGGAACGAACAGCGGCAGCUCCAGACGCGGCAGCUCCAGACGCGGCAGCUCCAGACGCGGCAGCUCCAGACGCGGCAGCUCCAGACGCGGCAGCUCCAGACGCGGCAGCUCCAGACGCGGCAGCUCCAGACGCGGCAGCUCCAGACGCGGCAGCUCCAGACGCGGCAGCUCCAGACGCGCCGGUUUGAAGAUCUGCAGCUUCACUGCUGAAGCCAGCGAGACCACGAACCCACCAGAAGGAAGAAACUCCGAACACGUCUGAACAUCACAAGGAACAAACUCCGGACACACCACUUUUAAGAACUGGAACACUCACCGCGAGGGUCCGCGGCUUCAUGUUUGAAGUCAGUGAGACCGAGAACCCACAAAUUCCGGACACGCUAUUUCGGAUUAUAAUUACACAUUUCAGUUGAAAUGUUGGUAGAUUUUGAACUGACAAUAUUUACAUUGAGGCAAUGCAAAGGAAAAGAGAAAGCAUCCUUGUCAUAUUAGAGAAAACUUCGAACAGUUAAAAUUUUAUGGAACGUUGGAGGCAGACAUAGACACAAAGAAAAUGUCAAGCGGAAAUAAAGGCAGACAUCAGGGUGAUGCUUCUACAAGCCAAGAACACCAAGAUUUGCCAGCAAACCACCAGAAGCACCAGUGAAUACAGAAACUGGAUGCAGGGCAGCAAAAUAGAUACAAGCUUUCAGAACAAAUCAGCUUUUUAAAUCUUCAUCCAAAAAUGGUGUAAUGGGAUGUGCCAAUUGGCCUCCAGCCAAGAAGUGGAGCUUGCCAAAAAGCACCAGCUAUGUUGGUAACAGUAGAAUUUGUGCCUGCCUUAUUUUACCCAAGGUAGAUAUUCUGGUGUAUCAGGCAAUGGGCUGGGCCAUGGAGUUCCCAAAUGUACCUGCCCAUCACGUUAGGCUAUCAGGAUGGAUGGAAGGACAAAGCUGGGUGCGGGUGGGUCCAGCAAGUUUGCACUCUGGCUCCCCAUAUACAGGCUCAAGCAGUGGCCCCAGUGGUGAUCAGAAGGCAGUUCCCCGACCACUGGAAUACUGUUCCAGGGAGGAGUGCUGCUGCCUCCGCUGCACAAAAGAUCCACAUGAGGAGCAGCAAUGGAGCCGGUGGCAGUAAGCCCCACUCAGUUCCCACGUACUUGGCAAGGCAGGUCUCACACCCACAGUGCUUUGCCGCAACUAGCUGGGUUCCAGGGAGCCUAGCCUGCUCAUGGGACUCAAAACUGCCCCAGGCCGUAAGCCUUCCCAGUGGAGACAAAAACUGUGAGUUUCAGGCCAUGCCCCUCUUGAUCUGCCAGUGAAGUAGAGGUGCUCAGCUCCUGUGCCCAUGGCUAUAGCACACUUCCUACACGCCCUUCCGUCCUGGCCAAUGAGUUUUGUCCCCAGUCACGAUUCUGUCGCAAUGCUCAGUUGAUGCUUCUCUCAACCUGUGACUACAUCAUGAGUUGGCUGGCAGAUUUCCGUGAGGUCUCCUGUGAGAAAGGAUUUGGAAUGGCUUCCCUCUGUCCCACUGGAGUUUGAAAGUGCAUGCAAAUCUUAUCCCAAUGCCACUCCUUCUCUUAGAGUCCCCACUGCUCACUAAAUCAGCUCCACUGCUAUAUUGGAUUAAGACCUUCUGUGACCUAAAAUGCCUGAGUCCCUUUUGGGAGUGUGAGUCACUGCAGCGGUUUCUCUUUCUCUCACUUGCUAUGGAGACACACAGUUUUCCUCUGGGUCAUGGUUUAGGCCGUUGCCCACUGGUUCUUUCCAAAGGCGUGUGGUUUCUUUCACAGCAUGAAUCUUCACACACUAUUUUGUCUUUCCAAGUGGGAGAGGCAUGCUAACAAUGUCUUCAGUCCACCAUCAUGGAAAAAAAAAAAAGUAUUUUUUUUUUCUGUCUACAGUGGAAACACUCUUGCUUUCUUUUACUAGCUGUCUCAUACUCAUCCUGAUUGUUACCUGGACCUGAGAAUAAAAUCAGAUGUCUACCAAGAAUCCUUUUGAGGGUAAAAGAAUGUAAGAAAACAAAAUUGGAUAAUAAAGACAACACAAUAGCUUAUUCCACAUGAGAACUAGAUGAUGGCAAAGUAGUGAGAAAUGAGAAGUUUUUAAUCAUGAAGACAGAGCAGAGAAACUACCUUUUCCAAAAAAGUAAAGAUCAUAGGUUUAUGACAUUUCCAGUAUAUUUGUGAUUUAUUCAAUCUCUCCUGCCUUACUCUAAUAAGAGAGUUUCCUACACAAUAUUUAGGAGCAUUAAUUAUAGAGCUUGACUCCCUGAGUUCAAAUCUAGGCUCCACCAUGGGAAUAUAUUAAGGGUUUUUGUUUUGUUUUGUUUUGUUUGUUUUUGAGAUGGAAUCUCACUCUGUUGCCCAGGCUGGAGUGCAGUGGUGCCAUCUCUGCUCAGGUGAUCUGCCCGCCUCGGCCUCCCAAAGUGCUAGGAUUAUAGGGUUAAGCCACCGCACCAGGCUAUAUUAAGUUUUUAAUAGAUUUCUUAACAUUUAUUUAAGCGUCUUCAUUACAGAAUAAUAGAAUAGUUCCUCAAAUCUUCCAGUAGACAUUGAGUGCAAAUAAAUUUCAAUUUCAUGAAGAGCAUUUUAAUUGACAAAUAAUUUCCACAAGACAGAAAUGCUAUUGAAGUAAGCUAUUAUUGGAAAUUCUCAAACUCUAUUGGAAAAAAGUCCUAAAAGGCAAGAUUCUAAAAUGAAUAACAAUCAAUCCAGGGCACAAUCAAAGGAAAGUGAGGAAAAAAUCUAUUUUUGUACUUAAUUCAUUUCUUAACUCUAAAUCACACAGACUUCAAUUAUUAAAUACUAUGUGGGUUAAUGUUUUGAAAUGAAGAAUUUGCCUCCUAAUGUGAAAUCUACAGUUCAUCAUAAAGUUGAUGAAGUAAUGUUCUUGGCUUAGUUACUCCCCAGAGAAACUAGUUCUCUUUUUGUGCUGUGUGCUUGGUACAUACUAAAAAGAGAAUUAAAAAAAAGAAUGUAUUUCCCAUAUGAAAAUAUGGCAGAAUAUUAAUAGGUUGAAGUACUACAGCUUCUCAUAAAGCACUGAGGGCCAAACACUAAUCAUUUUGCUGGGAAUUUAAAUAUUUUAUAUGGAAUCUGUUAUGUGUUUUAAUUCUCACUAUAAAACUGGAAAUGUAUUCUUAAAAUAAAAGUCCCCUAAACAUAAUUGAAGUGACCUCAAUAACAAUAAAAUAUUCAAAGAACAUAACCAUAACCAUAAUGAGCCAGAAAAAUAAAACAUUAAAUCAAGAGAUAUAAGAAACACUAAACUUCUCUCCAUGAAGUAGUAACACUUUAAAUAAGGAAAGAUUAAAGCGAAUUUUUUUUCUUUUAGCUAAAACUUUCGCAUCCUUUAAAUAAAGAUUUAUUACUGUCUUAU